rnacentral:rRNA from 1 species
UACGGAGGGUGCAAGCGUUAUCCGGAUUCACUGGGUUUAAAGGGUGCGUAGGUGGGAAGGUAAGUCAGUGGUGAAAUCCCCGAGCUUAACUUGGGAACUGCCAUUGAUACUAUCUUUCUUGAAUACCUUUGGAGGUGAGCGGAAUAUGUCAUGUAGCGGUGAAAUGCUUAGAUAUGACAUAGAACACCAAUUGCGAAGGCAGCUCACUACACGGUCAUUGACACUGAGGCACGAAAGCGUGGGGAUCAAAACAGG